rnacentral:rRNA from 1 species
UUGGAGGGCAAGUCUGGUGCCAGCAGCCGCGGUAAUUCCAGCUCCAAUAGCGUAUAUUAAAGUUGUUGCAGUUAAAAAGCUCGUAGUUGAAUUUCGGGAUCAGAUUGUCGGUCGUGCCUCGGUACGCACUGGCAUUAUUGGUUCCUACCUUCUGAAGAACCGCGAUGUCAUUAAUUUGGUGUCGUGGGGAAUCAGGACUGUUACUUUGAAAAAAUUAGAGUGUUUAAAGCAGGCUUACGCUUGAAUACAUUAGCAUGGAAUAAUGAAAUAGGACGUUUGAUUCUAUUUUGUUGGUUUCUAGGAUUGACGUAAUGAUUAAUAGGGAUAGUUGGGGGCAUUAGUAUUCAAUUGUCAGAGGUGAAAUUCUUGGAUUUAUUGAAGACUAACUACUGCGAAAGCAUAUGCCAAGGAUGUUUUCAUUAAUCAAGAACGAAAGUUAGGGGAUCGAAGACGAUCAGAUACCGUCGUAGUCUUAACCAUAAACUAUGCCGACUAGGGAUCGGAUGAUGUUAAUUUUUUAACGACUCAUUCGGCGCCUUACGGGAAACCAAAGUGUUUGGGUUC